rnacentral:rRNA from 1 species
UAAGGAAUAUUGGGCAAUGGACGCAAGUCUGACCCAGCCAUGCCGCGUGGAGGAUGAAGGUCCUCUGGAUUGUAAACUUCUUUUAUCUGGGAAGAAACCCAUGAAUUCUUUCGUGGUUGACGGUACCAGAUGAAUAAGCACCGGCUAACUCCGUGCCAGCAGCCGCGGUAAUACGGAGGGUGCAAGCGUUAUCCGGAUUUACUGGGUUUAAAGGGUGCGUAGGCGGACAGGUAAGUCAGUGGUGAAAUCCCCGAGCUCAACUCGGGAACUGCCGUUGAUACUAUCUGUCUUGAAUACCGUGGAGGUGAGCGGAAUAUGUCAUGUAGCGGUGAAAUGCUUAGAUAUGACAUAGAACACCGAUUGCGAAGGCAGCUCACUACGCGGUCAUUGACGCUGAGGCACGAAAGCGUGGGGAGCAAACAG